GAGGGUAUAAGUUCAGUGGUAGAGUGCGUGCUUAGCAUGCACGAGGUCCUGGGUUCAAUCCCAAGUAUCUUCA
rnacentral:tRNA from 1 species